GACGAACGCUGGCGGCGUGCUUAACACAUGCAAGUCGAACGAUGAACCCGGAGCUUGCUCCGGUGGAUUAGUGGCGAACGGGUGAGUAACACGUGAGUAACCUGCCCUUGACUCUGGGAUAACUGCGGGAAACUGUAGCUAAUACCGGAUACGACCCUCGGCGGCAUCGCCAGGGGGUGGAAAGAAUUUCGGUCAAGGAUGGACUCGCGGCCUAUCAGCUAGUUGGUGAGGUAACGGCUCACCAAAGCAACGACGGGUAGCCGGCCUGAGAGGGUGACCGGCCACACUGGGACUGAGACACGGCCCAGACUCCUACGGGGGGCAGCAGGGGGGAAUAUUGCACAAUGGGCGCAAGGCUGAUGCAGCAACGCCGCGUGAGGGAUGACGGCCUUCGGGUUGUAAACCUCUUUUAGUAGGGAAGAAGCGAAAGUGACGGUACCUGCAGAAGAAGCACCGGCUAACUACGUGCCAGCAGCCGCCGUAA
rnacentral:rRNA from 1 species